rnacentral:rRNA from 1 species
UACGAAGGGGGCUAGCGUUGCUCGGAAUCACUGGGCGUAAAGCGCACGUAGGCGGAUUGUUAAGUCAGGGGUGAAAUCCUGGAGCUCAACUCCAGAACUGCCUUUGAUACUGGCGAUCUUGAGUCCGGAAGAGGUGAGUGGAACUCCGAGUGUAGAGGUGAAAUUCGUAGAUAUUCGGAAGAACACCGGUGGCGAAGGCAGCUCGCUGGGACGGUACUGACGCUGAGACGCGAAAGCGUGGGGAGCAAACAGG